rnacentral:rRNA from 1 species
CGAGAAAGUGGAGCAAUCCAUGAGUAAAGUGGCGCACGGGUGAGUAACGCGUGACUAACCUACCCUUGAGUGGGGAAUAACCUAGGGAAACCUGGGCUAAUACCGCAUAACACCUACGGGUCAAAGGAGCAAUUCGCUUAAGGAGGGGGUCGCGGCAGAUUAGCUAGUUGGCGGGGUAAUGGCCCACCAAGGCAGGGAUCUGUAUCCGGCCUGAGAGGGCGCACGGACACACUGGAACUGAAACACGGUCCAGACUCCUACGGGAGGCAGCAGUGGGGAAUUUUGCGCAAUGGGGGAAACCCUGACGCAGCAACGCCGCGUGGAGGAUGAAGUCCCUUGGGACGUAAACUCCUUUCGACCGGGAAGAUUAUGACGGUACCGGAAGAAGAAGCCCCGGCUAACUUCGUGCCAGCAGCCGCGGUAAUACGAGGGGGGCAAGCGUUGUUCGGAAUUAUUGGGCGUAAAGGGUGCGUAGGCGGUUCGGUAAGUCUCGUGUGAAAUCUUCGGGCUCAACUCGAAGUCUGCACGAGAAACUGCCGGGCUUGAGUGUGGGAGAGGUGAGUGGAAUUUCCGGUGUAGCGGUGAAAUGCGUAGAUAUCGGAAGGAACACCUGUGGCGAAAGCGGCUCACUGGACCACAACUGACGCUGAGGCACGAAAGCUAGGGGAGCAAACAGGAUUAGAUACCCUGGUAGUCCUAGCCCUAAACGAUGAUCGCUUG